GCUUAAGGUCAUACCACCUUAGGCACGCCCGAUCUCGUCUGAUCUCGGAAGCUAAGCAGGGUCGGGCCUGGUUAGUACUUGGAUGGGUGACCGCCUGGGAAUACCUGGUGCUGUAAGCA
ensembl:rRNA 5S_rRNA 5S ribosomal RNA